CGGACAGUGUCUGGUGGGUAGUUUGACUGGGGCGGUCUCCUCCUAAAGAGUAACGGAGGAGCACGAAGGUUGGCUAAUCCUGGUCGGACAUCAGGAGGUUAGUGCAAUGGCAUAAGCCAGCUUGACUGCGAGCGUGACGGCGCGAGCAGGUGCGAAAGCAGGUCAUAGUGAUCCGGUGGUUCUGAAUGGAAGGGCCAUCGCUCAACGGAUAAAAGGUACUCCGGGGAUAACAGGCUGAUACCGCCCAAGAGUUCAUAUCGACGGCGGUGUUUGGCACCUCGAUGUCGGCUCAUCACAUCCUGGGGCUGAAGUAGGUCCCAAGGGUAUGGCUGUUCGCCAUUUAAAGUGGUACGCGAGCUGGGUUUAGAACGUCGUGAGACAGUUCGGUCCCUAUCUGCCGUGGGCGCUGGAGAAUUGAGGGGGGCUGCUCCUAGUACGAGAGGACCGGAGUGGACGCAUCACUGGUGUUCGGGUUGUCAUGCCAAUGGCACUGCCCGGUAGCUAAAUGCGGAAGAGAUAAGUGCUGAAAGCAUCUAAGCACGAAACUUGCCCCGAGAUGAGUUCUCCCUGACUCCUUGAGAGUCCUGAAGGAACGUUGAAGACGACGACGUUGAUAGGCCGGGUGUGUAAGCGCAGCGAUGCGUUGAGCUAACCGGUACUAAUGAACCGUGAGGCUUAACCUUACAACGCCGAAG
rnacentral:rRNA from 1 species